CGACGGGUAGCCGGCCUGAGAGGGUGACCGGCCACACUGGGACUGAGACACGGCCCAGACUCCUACGGGAGGCAGCAGUGGGGAAUAUUGCACAAUGGGCGAAAGCCUGAUGCAGCAACGCCGCGUGAGGGAUGACGGCCUUCGGGUUGUAAACCUCUUUUAGCAGGGAAGAAGCGAAAGUGACGGUACCUGCAGAAAAAGCGCCGGCUAACUACGUGCCAGCAGCCGCGGUAAUACGUAGGGCGCAAGCGUUAUCCGGAAUUAUUGGGCGUAAAGAGCUCGUAGGCGGUUUGUCGCGUCUGCUGUGAAAUCCCGAGGCUCAACCUCGGGCCUGCAGUGGGUACGGGCAGACUAGAGUGCGGUAGGGGAGAUUGGAAUUCCUGGUGUAGCGGUGGAAUGCGCAGAUAUCAGGAGGAACACCGAUGGCGAAGGCAGAUCUCUGGGCCGUAACUGACGCUGAGGAGCGAAAGGGUGGGGAGCAAACAGGCUUAGAUACCCUGGUAGUCCACCCCGUAAACGUUGGGAACUAGUUGUGGGGUCCAUUCCACGGAUUCCGUGACGCAGCUAACGCAUUAAGUUCCCCGCCUGGGGAGUACGGCCGCAAGGCUAAAACUCAAAGGAAUUGACGGGGACCCGCACAAGCGGCGGAGCAUGCGGAUUAAUUCGAUGCAACGCGAAGAACCUUACCAAGGCUUGACAU
rnacentral:rRNA from 1 species